CCCCGCCAUGAGGCGCGGCCGAGGCGUGGCGCUGCCCGCAGCCCGCCGGAGGGCGCCGCCGCGGCCGUCUCGAGGGCAGUAGCAUGGAGUUGAACUCAGGAGCUUUUCAGGAGGACCCAGAAUCUGACAGUGGACAUCUAGAACAGAGGACACCUUGGUGUGAACACCACCUGUACCAGCAGCUAACGAUGGUGCCUCAUGCUGUUCACAAGAAGAAAGUGAGGUUUGGUGCCAUGAAUCCACCCACUGAGAAGAGUCCCACUACUACAGGAGGACUGUAGCAUAGGCAGAAGUACCAGUUUGGCCACAGGUUACUUCUCCCAUUGUAAAUUCACUCCUUGCUCAGGCUAUGCACGUGCACCAAAGCAGGUUCUGAAUUCUUUUUCAGUUUCCACUGAAUGUUUUUUUAUCCUCUCCGAGCUCUGUGAGAUUGGCAUUAUCCUGUAGCAGUGUCACAGCCUGCAAUCGUUUAAUGCCUCUUCUUGUGAGGCCAGGAUUCCACGCCCAAGUGCAUUUAGUAGGUCAGUACAGUAAUUUUAAAUGUCUUUCUUUCAGUCUUUUGCCAUCUUCAAUUAUACCUUUCCACCCUACUAUUUGUGUAAUUUGCUUCUGUCUGAAGUCUCUUUACUGUUGUUCUCUAUUGCACAGCGUGACAAAUUACCCAUCAAGCCGUAUCUUUUCAGCCCAGAAAUGCGCAGUAACACAGAGUCAUGGCAUUAUCACAUGUUGUGCACUUUAUUUCCUCACAGUUCAUUCAAGUGUGUCACUUUAUUUUCCUGCUUCCUUUUGUCAUCAUGAAGAUUAACCAUUUUUUUCUUCCUAAACUUUAGAAAGAAUUAGAAAUGCAUUACAUUGUAAGCCCAGAGCAACACCUAUACUAUCCCAUACAACCUGUCCUUGGCAAAAUUAUUCUCUGCAACUCUGAGCCUUGCAGAAGCUGGGGCUUUCAUCAUUAUUAUACAGCUGAAUAACCCUGGCCGUGGGCAAGAGAAUUAUUUGUAGCCCCUGGCCACCAAACAAAUUAAUUGUGAGACACCAUUCACUUUGACAGCGCACUCCAGCUCCUUCUGGGAGCUAUGAAACUCUCUGGGCCUCAUGUAUAUUGUGCCCAGGGUCCUUCUCUCCCUCCCUCUCUCUUUAAUUCAAGAUAAAUACGAGUAAUUGUAGAGCUUAUGCUGAGAUAUCUCCCAGGCAUUGCAAGGAUGUGUUCGAAAAAUCAAUUGUAUUGUUCACAUAGUCAGCAGGGCUGCAGCUGGUGUAUAAAAGGCAUCCUUAGAAACUGUGAUUUAAGAUGAUCUAGAUAAAGUUUGUUAUUAGAUUGUUUAAGGGCCCAGUAGGUCCUCCAACAUUAAUGUCUGAAGAGAGCCACAGAAGUAAAUUCAAACCUUUCCUCGAAAUGUACCUGAGAUGUGAGAUGGGAUUUGUUCAAGCAAAUAUGUCCAGUUCUCCUUUACAAUCCAUUUCAUAAUUUGUCAGUAUGAAUGCUAGGUGGGAAAAAUAGCACUUCUGUAAAACAGAGCAGAUGAUUAGGAAUUAACUAAACCUGUGGAGUUCAAUUUGGUUGGAGAAAACGUAAUUGAUGUUCAGAUUAACAAAAUGCUGACUGUUUGGUACCAUUGCAUUUUAUAAUUUUGGAAAAUGCUGAUGCAUAGGAAGGAAUAAGAGCAGAAUAUGAUAAACUGAAAUUGCUGUGGCGUUGAGGAUGCUAGGAGUCACUUGUAGUGCUAGUAGUCCCAUAACUUGAAAUAUGUCAGAUGCUGGGAGACCAAGCUUGGAUGUGCUGGAGGAGCUGAGCAUGAGCAAUAGGAGGUACACAUUAAGUUAGGCACCAAUCCCAAGUCUGGGCUCACCUAAUUUUCGGCACUAUUUCUGUCCUAUUUCACAACUAUACUGAGCCUUUCAUGUUGGCUGAUUAAAAAAAAAAAAAUCUUUUGUAUCACUUAACACACAAUGUAAUGCUAAUUCUUUUUUUCAAACAUCUUUACAGACACAAUGGGAACUUUAGUAUAUGCUAGUAAGAAAAAAUGCAUGACAUUUUUGUAAGAAGCCUGACUUUUAAAUGGAAAAAUAAAAUUUAUACAUUUUUGUAACUUCAUGUGAAAACUCUCAAAAUUGUUUUACGUGGACUAGAAGUUCUGACUGUUGCAGUUCAUUUACUUUGUAAUGUUCUCUAAUUAAUUUACUUUAGAGUGUCCUGCAGGAGCUGGUAAUAGAAAAUCCAUCUCCCCCUUAGAGAAAAUUGUUACUGCAGCUGAUAAACAGAAUUAUACAAGCUUUGUCAUACAAAUCACAUUAUAAAAGGUUCCAAAAAACUUGACAAUGUUGACAGUUGUUUUCAGCAAAUGGCUGCUUUACUGUAGCACUGUCAAUGUUGAUGUCCUUGUGCACAUGUAAAAGAGCAAUGUGAUUAAGGCAAGCUUGUCCAUGCUAGAUAUGAGCCAAGUUUUCAAUCUCCUCAUGGCACUGAAAGAUUGCUCAGCUGUUGCAGAUAAGGCAAGAAUAGCUAGCAGAUUUCUGCCAUUAAAAGAAAAAUAAAAUAAAUAAAAAAAAAUCCUUUACUUUGGGCAUGCAUGUAUAGGAAUUUGUAACAUCUGCUACUGACCUCAAGUUACAGAUAAGAAGAGCUCAUAUUUGUAACUCUAAUUGAUAUUACUCAGUUUAGAUGAUGUACUUCCAAGGAGAUUACUGAAGUAUCUUUGUAAACACAGAUUUAUCUAGACAGCAGUCUAAAGUAUGAUACACUUUUGUGAAGUGGUGAAUUAUCACCACUCUUCUCAUGCCACUUACCACUGCAGUUUACAUCCACCUUAUGUUGAAUAUAAUUUGCACAAAUAAUUUAUAUUGCCUUUUGCUCUGAGACUAUUUCAUCUUCAUCUAUGACAGUCGAUGCUUGUGCCCUACCUAGAACAUCAGUCAUCUUUGCAAUAUUUUUUCUUUGUAUCAACUAGAUGAAAGGAGUGGAAAACUAAGUUCUGUAGCCAAAACUUUGUCAAGAAAUGGGCCUGAGUUAACACAGCCACAUCCUCCAUCCUACUGACCCUGAAUUCUUUAUGCAAGAUGUCAAAGCCAUGGGACUCAGCAGAUUUGUUGUCAUGUCUGGGUGUGGAAAUAAUGGGAAGAAGCCAAUUCAUAAUCUUAAAACAAAACCCUUGGGAUUUUCUCAUAUAAAUUAACAUAGACUUUGUUAGUCUAAACAUACUCAGAUUUUGACUUUGUAUCUACUAAAAACUCUUUUGAAAGGUCUUGGUUUCUGACAAGAGCUUGGAGGAGAGGAGGGAGUAGAUGUCAGGUUGGCUCAAGGUGACCAGCUACAUGUUCCCCAAACCUUCAGUGUGAUACUGCACAUCUUGGAAUGACAGGGUUGAGUCUAAAGUUCCAUGACAGGAUAAGAAAAAUCAGUGAACUGAAGGCAUCUAUUAAUGGCUUUUUCUGACAAGCUUGUACAAUGAUGGAGUGUGGUACUACACAGCAGCAAUUUCAUAGUCCUCAGUUAUGAAACCAUCCUUACUCUUCUUGUAGCCCAGCUUCUUCUCUCUUCUCAACCAAAUUCUUAAACAAGUAACUUAAAGUCCACCUCACUAAGCAGCUAGAAUUCAGAAAAAAGAGGUUUAUGAUAAUGUAUUUGAAGAGCAUGAUGUAGUACCUAGAAACAAGGGGGAAGGAGAAAAUUUAAGCAUGCGGUGUUAACACUUAUUCUGAUAUCUCCCUACAUUUUAAGGCUGGAUGUUGUAAUGUACACAUCUUAAUAAAAAAUAAUUUUGUUCUGGGAAAUCAUGGAUAGCCCUUCUCUGUGUGCAGAACAACCUGUGCCUCCUGUAAUUAUUAGGAUUAAAAUAAAAUUCAUGGCAUCUGGUAAAAAAAAAAAAAAAAAAACAUAUAGUAUAGAAUAAUAAAAACAAAAGUGUAACAAACAGCUUUGCUCUUAACUGAAACCAUUAUUAGUUUUACAUUUUACAUCAUUAGGGUAAAAUGGUGCUACAAUAAAAGCUACAUCUCAGGAAGACAUCCUAAUUUUGAUGUCACCCGUGAAGCUCAAUACACUUCUUCCUACCACAGCCUCAGAUACGGACUUGUACCCUGGUACUCUGGGCCCAUGGAAUAGCCCUAUGUCACAGAGUUAUCUAGAUCAAUCUGUGCCCAUGACAGGGGGCAGCAGGUCCAUAGGCCCCCUAGCCCAAAAAUGGGAAGGGAAAACAGGAAGGGUAGGGAGAAGGGAGCUGGGCCCAAAAGCAGAACAGCGGCAAUGAGGAGGAAAACUUAAUUUCACUGAAUAUGAUAUUGGAAUCCAAAAUAACACAAUAUAAUACAAUAUAAUUGAAAUUGAGGCUAAUAAAUCAAAUAAAAUGAGAGAGAUAGAGAGUGUCUGAAACUGAAAAGCCUAUUUUGAACCGAAGGCUCACAGCUGGUGAGCACACCCACACGCUGCCUGGCAGGGAGUGAGAGAGAGCCAGAGAGCAAGAUCCUGUGACUUCCUCUCAUGGCUUAUCUUCCACUGUGAAGUCCCCUGGGAUAUGUAGUUGUUGUUCUCCUUUGAGAACCAGGUAUCCAGAAAGUUAUCAUUCCACGGAACUGGAGUAUUAACUCUUUAAUUACCUGUGCUUUACAUGUUAUGAUGUGGAAUACUGAUAACAAAAUUAUAAAACCAUGACAACCCUAUGACUCAUGUUCUGUCAUUCUCAGACCCUCUGGCCAAAAACCUAAAUCUCAUAAAUGCAGGGUACUUAAUACUUACUGUAAUUAUCAGCUAGUAAAUCUUCGUACCUAUUGGUUGUUCUUUGAGGUCAAUUGGAUCAAAUAACUUUUCAAUCUCUCCAUGUCAUGAAGGGAGAUCUUUCAUGCAGAAUUGAUGAAGCAGGAAUGUUUCUUGCUGUAGUGAUCUUUUCUCUGCUCCAGUACAGCUGUGUGCAUGAGCAGCCUGACUUUGCUUUGAAAACCUUAAGCUGCAUUCUUCAGAACAGUUGCUCGGUGUUGGUCAGAUUUCUCUGCAGCUUUUUUUUUUCCAUUUAGAGCCACUGAGGCUGACACAUAGUUUCCAAGAACUUCGACAUGUCUUGUGUCUCCUGAAUUCCAAAUAUUUCUCAAGUGCCUAGCAGAAGAAUAUCCAGAUAAUCUCUAGGCUGGUAAUACAAGCUCACAGAAGAAAGUCAGGCAGCCCUGAAAAUACAGUGUAAAGUAAUUAUUUCAUUUUAUGUUAACUUGGUGUCUUUGUUACGUGUAUACUGCCAUUGUUACGCUUAGAGCAUUCUCUAGAUCUGAAGAGGCUAUAAAAUCCUACUAAUUCUAGCACUAAUAACAGCUUUUGUGGGUCACACUGUAAAUGAUAUUGCAUGAUGAUUCAUUUGAAAAUGCAAUAAUGUAGCUUGAAAAACAAAAGAUGAGCAACAAACUGAAACAAAAGAGCUUGCUGCCUUUCCCCAGACAACACUUUUUCAUUUCUGACCUAGGUUUACCUUCUUUCCCCUUCUUUAAGGAUCCUUUACAUUAUGUACUAAAAAUAAAAGCAUUCAAGGUUCAACUUUAAGUCCCAAAUUACUGCCUUUCAGAUUCUUUAUUAUCCUUUCAAGCAUCUAAAAAAAUAGGUCAAAGCAAUGCUGCAUAAUUUGGAAAGUUAACAAAUGUUGUUUAUGGAAUAAAAAAGUAAGUAGAUAUAAUUACAAUAACCUUUAAAUGUAUUGUUUCCCUUCCAUUGUCAGUUAAACCCUUUAAAGAACUGAAGUUUUACACAAAGGUGGUGUUAUUUUAUUUUAUUUUUUUUUGCCUUCUCCGAAAGACAGAGAUAAAAAUAGCUUCCAGUCACAUGGCAUAAAGUCCACCUGGAUCUCUGGCUUCUUUUCAACAGUAUGAGCUCUGGCUCACAACCUAGGUUUGUUCUCUCACAAAAAUCGUGUCUAGAUACCACGGGGAAAGUGAGCACUGAAGACUGGCACCCAGCAACUGUGAACUGUGAACACACGUUUCAAUAAAUAGGGCCUUGAUCCUGUGGCAGCUUUGUCUAGGCAUGGCUUUCCCCCCAGUUCUCAGCUUCACCACUGUUUGUUUUAAAGUGUUUCUUCGCUCUUCAAUUUCGAUGUUAUCAUGGGCUUUAGCUUUCUCAAUAUUCAAGGUCAAGCAGCUAGCAGACAUAACAUUGAUAGCAUUUGAUAAUGAAGAAACAACGUGAAAAGAAAAGGAUAUAUUUGUUUGCUGGACACAGCUGAAUAUAGUAGAGGGAAAAAACAUUCAAGAUUUUCUGUCCAUAAGUGACAACUAAAAGAGUCAAAUUUCUCUUUGAUUUUAUACUUCCUGUGUGCUAGAUAAAUUGUGUUUUCUGAUUUCAGACCAAAUCUCUUAAUGUAUUUUGGGGUGGAAUCUAUACCCUGCAAUACAGAGAAAAGGAAAGGUCUCUGGCAACGUCUGCAUAAGGCUUGCAGAGAUGUUCCCUCCUUUGCAGCUCAUUUCCAACAGCAGAAGCCAAAGCCACAAGGACACUGGUAAAAGGGCAAAGCUGUUGCUCUCAUUUUUUAACCCAAUGGCUUCAAAUGGCUUCUCACCUGAAGAAGCUUUGAGUCUAAGAUUGCCAUUUAAGUUCCUUUUAUAGUUAGUGACAGGAGAUGGACAUCUCAUCACGAUACCUACUUAAAAUGAAUGAACUCUACCCUACCAGUGCCUGCUAGUCUGUCCAGCAAGUCUAGAAUCUCAUCUUGCCAUAAUGAGAUUCCCAGCAUUCACAUGAUUGAAGCCAGAUGCUAUAUGAACUUUGCAUUAGCACUAUCAAAUAUCUUUACUGAAAGUUUGAGUGUGUCAAGUUGAGCAUGCUCACUAACACCAAAUCUUUUCUGACAUUAGGAAGCAGUGUGACAAAAUGCUUUGUAGAAAAUGUCUUAGGAUCUCUAACAAAAUGAUAUCUUAAUUCUAGUCACAUCAAAGUAGGUUGUAAGGGAUAUUCAAAACAGCUGUGGUUGUAUUUGGCAAAUGAAGGAGUCUUGCCUAUCUUUCAAGAUCUCAGAUUCUGAAAUUAAUCCAUCAGUGUUUGAUUUAGUUGAGUCAUGUCUUAAAUUGUGCAACAUACUACAAGCAGGAGCCAGACAAGGAUCCAAGCACUGACCAGGAUGAUUUCUUCUUGCUGUCAAUACACCCAAUAACUGAACAGUGUUCCUGUCAUGCUGUGAGUUUGCUAUGGAUAUGCUGUCUAGGCCUCCUCUCUCCUAUGGUUUUAAGACUUCUAUAAUUAACCCUGUAACGUACUUUUCAUUUAGUGCUGCACAUACUUGAGGGUUUAAUCAUAAGUACAGAGCUGUACAAUGUAUUUUGAACUACAUUUUAGUAUUUUCUUCACAAAGAUAGACUAUGCAAUGCAAAUUCUGUAAAUGACUGAGAUUAAUAAACUAUUCUGUCUCUUCUACUCACCCUGAGCACAAACACAUGCAGAGAUGUAGCUAAUGUAGAGGUAAACACAACCUGAUUUUCUACAGCAUGACUGUCUUUCAAACAACAAACCUCUGAUUUUUCAGCACAUGUGGACUAUUUUUCAGGUAUUCUACACAAUUUAAUCUGUACAUGUUUGUAAAUCUUUUUCAUGUGAAUGCUGGUUAUACUCAGUGGUACUCAUCUAAGAAAAACAAAGCCAGGGUAAGUAUUUGUUAUGGGCCAGUUUCACCAGUACAUAUGUAUUUGAUCAAUAUAACCAUAAUAUUGAUUAUUUUAAUUAAUUAACUAAUUAAUUAAUUUUGAGAAAAGUGGAAAUUGUUAGACUUAACAGCUACUAAAUAGAUAUUCCAAUGUGAAAGAAAAUGCAGCAGUUUUACAGGAAAAGUCCUGAAGAAUAGGUGGAGCAGCAGAUCUGCUUGCCUGGUAUUGUUUGGUAUGGUAUGAGAAAAUAGUCUUUGCAAAACAAUGGAUGAGUAUCAGUCUGUGUGCUGGUAGAGGGAGUAAUGAAGUAAUUGCUACAGAAAUUACAUUAUGUUUUAAAGAGGAAGCUGCAUAUGAGGCUCAUUUCCCCAAGUUUAUUAGAAACUCAGAAGUGUCAGCUUUUAAGUAAAGUUGCAAAAUUUUCUGUCUUUUAUUUGAUUCAUUCAAAUCUUGAAAUAACACAGUUGUGGUCUGUACAGGAAAAUUAUUCACUGUAGAAAGCAGUAUUUUGGUUCUUGAACAGAAUAUCUACCCUCCAUGUGAUGAAGUGUGUGAGUAAACAAAGACGUGUCUGUUAGAAACCAAUUAUUAAAUAAUAUGAAUUCUCAAGAGAAAACCUAGGUUUUGUGUAUGUGUUUGUGAGCCUUUGUGUACUUUUGCAAUUGUUGUAUCUAUAUUUAUUUAUACAGUUGCUUAAUUAAUUGGCUCAGUGGCAUCUCAGAAACCUCAUUAUACUUGAAAUAGGCAGGAGAUUUUCACAGGAAGAACUAGGGAGUUUUUCUCCCUCAAGUAUCUUCUUUUCACAUGGUACUCUCCAGAUGGACAAAGCAAUUCCAGGCUGGUUCCACAUGCUAGUACAAUGGGUAGUCUCUGCCAGUGCCAACUUCCCCAGAUAUUUGGACUGUACUCAGAAGAAGAUAGUUCCGUCAAUCAGGCAUGCUAGAACCUCAGUUAGCUUCCUUCUGCUAAAUGUCUCCCAGAAGGUAGAUGCUCUGUAUUCAUGGGAUGCGAGGCACAGAGUGCUUCCAGCAUCAUGGGAGUGAUGAGAGUGGACUACAAGGGCGAAACAGUCAAACAUCUGAGUCAAACAUGCUGUCCAUUUCCUUGUGUUUGUGAGGGCUGAAGUAGCUCUGUGCUUUGUACAGGGAUGUUCAUGUCUGUCUGCCCAGUAGCAGGAGGUAUGGCACUUGGAAUGUGAAGCAAAGAUCAGGUUCGUGACUAUCUGAGGAAUCUGAACAUCUCUAAGUCUGUGGAUCCUGAUGAGAUGCAUGCCAGAGUCCUGAAAGAGGUGGCUGAGGUGGUCACCAAUCCACUCUCAAUGAUAUUUGAAUAUCAUGAUAGUCAGGGUAAGUCCCUGGUGACUGGAAAAAAGACAAUGUCACACCCAUUUUUAAGAAGAGUAGAAAGGAUGAUAUAGCGAACUAUAGACUUGUCAGCCUCACCUUUGUACUAGGGAAGAUUAUGUAGUAGAUCCUCCUGGAAGCUAUGCUAAGGCACAUGAAAGAAAGGGAGGUGAUACGGGAUAACCAUAUUGGCUUCACCAACAACAGAUCCUCCCUGACCAACCUUUUCAUUUUUUAUGAUGGUGUAACUUCAUGAGUGAACAAGGGAAAAGCCACUGAUGUCAUCUAUCAGUAAGGCCUUUGAUAUGAUUCCCCACAUCCUUCCCUCCAAUUUGGAAAUAUAUGGAUUUGAAGUGUGGACUGUUUGAUGGAUGAGGAACUGGUGGCAGGAUUGUACCCAGAGACUGAUGGUCAGUGGCUCAGUGUCCAGAUGGAGAUCAAUGAUAUGUUGUGUCCCUCAGACAUCAGUACUGGGACUGAUGUUCUUUAAUACUUUCAUCAGUGACAUUGACAGUGGACAGUCUCAGCAAGUUCGUAGGUGACACCGAGCUGUGUGCUGUGGUUGACCCACCCAAGGAAUGGGAUGCAAUUCAGAGAGGCCUAGGCAGGCUUCAGGAGUGGACCCAGGAGAACCUCCUGAGAUUCAAUAAAGCCUGUCCUUGGAUACAUUCAAAGUGCGGCUGGACAGGGCUCUGAGCAAGCUGAUAUAGGUGGUCCUGUUCACCGAAGAGAAGUUUGAGUACGUAACCUUUAAGGGUCUCUUCCAACUCAAACAAUUCUAUGAUUCUACAUUCUUUUAUCAUGUUUGGGAAAAAAAGUGUUUAAUGCCCUAGUUUUGAUGACUGUGGAACAGCAGGAGGAUUAAUGUGUCUUCCAUAGCCUUCCCAAUAUAGCUGUGUCUAGUCCCCAAACUGUGGCAGUGGCACAGAGCUACUUUUGUGUCACCACCAUCUCAUCAUCUCAGGUUAUUUUUCAGACCAUCUCAUGCCCUGCUCUAUCAGAUUUGUUAAGGAAAAAAAAAAAAAAAAAAAAGGCUUUAGCCCAAGAAAUGGGGGCUUAUCAUUAUAGCAGUGUUUGUGUGGAAGAUAAUGACAUUGUCUUGGCUCCAGUGCAUAGUUUCAGGGAAAUACAUUCAAAUCAGAAUUCAGCUGAUUUAGGAUCAGAGAGAAGUCAUUUAACUUGCUUCCACCUGAUGAAGAUUAAGGAAAAUGCAGAGCUGCACGUCUUGUGAAUCUCUUGAUGCUGACUCUUUUGAUUUGUCAGUAGUCCUCUCUGUAGCAGCAGAGCUGGCUGAGCUCAGUAGUCACACAGCAAAAGUUUUUCCUUGCAACCACAGAGAUCUGAUGCUUUCCUGAUCUAUGUAAAUCACUCUCUUACAGCAAAGUGCUCCACAGAUGCCUGAAAUAAAAACAGCAGCACAGUGUUUUUAUGAGUUAAUAGGUGAGUGGAUAAUAAGUACCAGAAGGAUUAUGGUGGAACACUAACCUUAAGUCAUUUUCUUGUGACCUCACGAAGGGGCAUUAUGUAUGUUUUUCUCCAUGUUUUUCUCCACCUAUGGCAAAUUGGAACAAACAUUUUCUGAGGCAUCAAGCCUUAUCUGCCCUUUCGUACUUCUGUCUUUAUUUGGCAGCUGGGGAUCUGAGAGUGAACUGAUGGUGCACUUUGUCCUGAAUGCUGCUAUUACUUCCAUCUUCAUUAUCUAAAUGCAGAGCAUCACAAGGAACAGUGGGUCACAGUGCCCACAGGUUUGAUAGAGCAACCUAAGUUAUCUACCUUCAAAUGCCUGCCUUGCAGAGAAGUGAAAUACUACUAAAUGGAAUGGCCAUUAUUUUUAUUUGAAUUGUCUGAAACAUUUUAUGAUUUUGCUGUUGUUGUUAAACUUAGGAUUCCAAAUCUUCAGAAGACUGAAGGGACAACAACUAGGAAGAACUGGGCAUCACUACUGGUUUGGAUAAGAUAAACAAUUAUGUGUCAUAUUGAGCCUUUCCAUUUACUAUUUUUUUAGCAUAAGUGACCUCUUAUAAUGUCUUCGCAUAUAAUAAACCUGCCUUUUUUUCUUCCCCUGUGAAUCUCCAUUAAGAAGGUGCAAUCCACAUACUAUCUUAGUGCCUGCUAUAAUAGUCACUAGAGCCUAUGGAAGUAUAUCUGUGCAUUUCACUAAACUGUGGUUUGAAAGAAUCCUGUCUGAAGAACACAUUUUAUGGCUCUACAACACAAAUAUCCUUUGGUUUUAAUGGAAGCUUUACUGGCCUGAAGUAAGGUGUUCUAUUAGUCUGUAGCCUAAUGCAUUUUGUUAAUGAGAAUAGAAUUUAACCUUUCUGUUAAAUCUAAAACAUAUCUCUGUCUUGAACUAUGUUAGGUAGAACUUGACAGGAAAAAAAUAAAUGUGAAUCAACAACAAAGCCCGUAUUCUUUGCAUGAAAAUGCUAUUGAUUUCCAUUCAGACUAAUCAGCUCUUUGGGGUAGGUAGGGUCAACCAUUUCAUAGCAUUUUGUUAAAACCUUUCUUUAAGGAUCAGACACAGUUUGGAAAGCAGAGAACUAAAACCCAAUGGCCCAGUUCUUCAAAUAUGAGUAUAAGCUAAACUAGUUCCAGCAAAUCAAGAUGGCUGCUUCCUGCAGUGCUGUUACUAAGGAGGAUGGGCAUGUUCAGGGCUGGCCUUGGCAUUUAGUUUGUUCUUGUAAUCCCAAGUAUGAAAAAUUAUUGAGUGUGUCUUUUUGAUUUUAUUAUGGAAAUGAGGUUGGACAGUCUUCAUCUGGCACAAAAAGAGUGGCAGGAUUCCUUGUUUCUCCUGAUCUCUGCUCAUAAAAAAGGAAAUCAAAUGGGAGGAAAGGAAAGAAAGAUAUGAAAACAGGGACACAAGGAGGUGAAAUGACAUAACUGCUCCACACUCGGAGUUCAGCAAGGAAAGUGACAGUAGGCAUCAGCCCUCCCAGCUCAUGAUACCAUGCUGAAACUUACAAAACUCUACUUCUUCAAAAGCUUGCCCUUUUGAUGAUACUGCAAAUAAUAACACAAUUGUACAGUGAUGAAUGGCAGUCCCGUGCCCUUACUGACAAGUUAGUGAAUGGACAGUACUGAAAAUAAUUUGUAAGAUGAUGAUGUUUAUGGUGAUGAUAACAUAAUAAAUCGAUAGCUGAAUUCUAUGCAAGAUGUUUCAUUAAUUCUUUUGUAGAUGUCUGCCAAGGGGAUAAGUAGUAUUGCAUUAAACACAUGGUUGGAUGCCUUUCAGAAGUUAUUUACAAGAUGCUCCUCCAAAUUAAGUAAUUUUUUUUACUUUUCUUCUUUGCUUGUCUGUAAGUAAAGGUGAGCUUGUGCUCACGUAAUUUGGAAGUCACAAAGUUUUGUUAAUUUCUGUUUCUGCAGGACUUUGAGAAUACAAAGCCUCUUCAGAAGGGCACAAUCUUCUUGCUAUUUAUCUCACCAUCAGUUAUGACUGGCCCUCCUCUCACACUGACACCAAUGAUGGUGAAAUUUCUGCAGAGCAGCAAAAAGUGCCAUUUAAGUGGCAGCGUUUGUUUUCAAGCUUAUUUUUGUCUGAUUACCAAACACUGCUUCAUUUCUAUUCCUUUCCUUGUGCUGCCCAGAGACUGUUUCUCCAUGCCAGUGAUUUGGAAGCGCCUGUAGAGCGAAGCCCAGUUGUCAAAGCUGCCGGCAGAGUUUCAAGUGGUUGCCGACGAGUGUAGGUGGCCAGCGCCAGGGAAGUGUUGUUGCUGAGCAUUUUCCUUAUUUAGAAGUGGCACCAGACGGCCUCCAGGGCAGUGAGCACCCAGUCCUUGGGCACUGAGUAGCACCUAGGCGACGUGCGGAAGACACAGCCAUGCAGGCUGACAGGAAAUUAAUUGUGCACCAGCAGGUCUACCUUUCGUGAAGGAACAUGGAAGAGGAAAGAAAUGACAGUAAGACUGAAUUAUGAACUCUUAGAAGUUGAGAACAAGAACUGAUUGUAUUGUGAAAGCUGAAUUCACUACUCGCGAUUAACGCUGGCAAUAGCAGUUGGCGGUGAUCACAUGCAUGAGAUUGCUGAAGCAGAUGGAGCACAUGUAUUACUCACAUAGGUUAGAAAAGACAAAAAGAAAACAUUUAUUCCAGUUUUCACUCCAGUGUUUAAAGAGCACCACAAACACAACUUUAAAAGUCUGAAUUCCUUAGAAACUGACACCAGGGGUCUUCUCAUUGUCUUCUCCGCAACUCCCUUCAAACUUGAGACAGAGACUGUCCUGUUCCAAAACUAGGUUUCCUUCUCCUCAGAUCUGGGCACUUCUGACCAAGAUGAGUUUGUGUCCCUGCCAUUGCCUUCCUACUUUGGUGAUGACUAAAACGAAGACACCUCAUUUACUUCUUGGGCAUCUCCUUGAGUCAACUACCACCUCUCCCAGGGUCACCCUGCUGCAAUCAUGUCUCCCAGAGGUAUUACAGCUCUUAAUUACAUCAUCUUCAGAGUGCUCAGAGGUUCACUGACAGAAGUGAUUUCAGCAUACAAAACACUGCAGCAACAUAAACUAAUCUAGAUAGUAGAGGUCAGUCCUGUCUGUCUACGUUAACCUAACAGCCUGUGCUUUUCCUCCUUCCUUCACCAUUUGCCAAAACAGAUACAGUUUGUUUUUCCUUUGAUCCUAUGGAGUUGACAGUGACAGAUUACUUUCAGUUUCUCAUCCUGAGCCUUCCCACUUUCCCGGUGAUUUGACCCGUGACAUUAGGAAGAUCUGUAAUCACAGGCAGCUGCCUCUCUGAGUAUGUCCAGAUACUGCAGGAUUGGUGGGACAGGACCACACAAGUCACUGUCUUCCCAGCAGAGCAGCUGGGUCCUGCAGAUCAGAGAUGGAAAGUAUCUUUGUGAAGCUCAAGGAUUUUACAAAAGUUAAAUUGUUCACAAGACAUCUCACUUCUCUAAAAUGUCUAAUUAUUUUUUUCACAGAGUCAAGAUUUUGGGGUAUUUUGAAUGUACACGUUAGAGACUCUGAUAGUGGGGAUUCUAUUUAACACAAAAACUUAUUUUGCAAUAUUUUAAUAUCAAACUGCUACCAGGAAUAGUAUUUUUGUUGUUGUUGUUUUGUUUUGUUUUAAUUCAGUCUUCAAAAACUGGAAAACUGUUGUAAGUGGGUUUUGACUGUGGAAGGUAGGACUCCAUCCUUCUGGGAUCCAGAGGUUUGGUACCAAACACAUAACCAAGUCCAAAGUAAUAGGUCCAACAACUGCCAAGGUUGUUAAUUUGCAAAGCUUUCAGUGUACUCCACAAUAGUGUAAAACCAAAUGGUAUCUCAUAAAGUCAUAUGAAAUGGAGCUUUAAAACAAACGAUCAGUAGAAGAUUAAUCAGAGGUGCCUGUGACUUUUAAAAUACAGAGCAUAGUCCCAGAUACAGGGCAAUUCAUGCUGGAAAGGGCCUCAGGAAGUCUCUUCUCUGACCUCCAUAAAGCAGUGAAAGCUUGGAGAGAAGACAGGGAAGAUCAGGGAUUUUCCAGACCCAUCUCAAAAAAGAUCUUAUCCUGGAGACUGCACAGCCUCCUUGGACUGCUUUCCCCGCUGCCUGGAAUCCUCAUGAGGGGAAAGUCUCUCCUUGUAACCUGGUCUGAUACAUCGAUGCAUCAUACCAUUUGUUUUCAAGAGUAAAAGCAAGAUCUAAGAGAAAGAAGAUGAAAGAGCUCGUGGACAAAAUCUUGAUGUUAUGUAUGAGGCAUGAUGCUAUUCUGUACUGUAUUAGAGAAAGCUUGUCCACUGGGAUUCAUUAUCUAAAUCAGUGAAUCUCUAACCUUUACAGCUGUGAAAACCUGUUGAUUUCUAUAACACUGUGCUUAGAGUCUAAGUAGUCUGAUUAAAAGCAAAGUGAUUGGAUCAUAUAGUUAUAAGCUGUUUCAUGUAAGAAAUAAUAAAUGAUUAAUGGCAUCAUA